AAAAAAAUACAAAUAGCUGAUUCUUUUACAGUUUCAUUAAAUUGCUUUAGUAAUUUAUGAUUCUUUUCAAUUCUGAAAACAAUAGUUCCUCAUUGUAGGAUUUUAAAUGGAUUGAUAUUGGGUUUUGAAAAGUUUUAUGGUUCAAACUUUGUGAGGGUUCAUGUUCCACUGAACCUUUCAACUGAUUUCAUUAUUCUGGUUAUUGCAUCUGGGUUAACUGCUAUUGCUUAUUGCUGAGCUUCUCAUUGUUACUAUCAUUUUACUUUUCAGGUACUUUCUUUAGCCUAUAAGUGAAGAAUGAAUGUUGAACAUGUAAUUCAAGUGAAGUUCUGUUUGAAUGAAGAAUGCAUUCAAAUCUGAUUUCCCC
rnacentral:lncRNA from 1 species